UACAGUCAAAUCAUGUUGAAAAUACUGCUCUCAUUUGAUCACUGAAGUUAAGCUGUGUCAAGCCUGAUUAGUACUUAGAUGGAAGACCACUUGGGAACACCAGGUACUGUA